rnacentral:rRNA from 1 species
ACAUUNUGUGGAGUAAGGCUCCCCAAGGCGGAGGAUNCCUUAGCNUGUUNNGNGGGAGUCAGCNNNUGGACUGAGACACGGUCNNGCUCCUNCGGAGGCAGCCAGUGGGGAAUAUGCCCAAUGGGCGCAGCCUGAUGCAGCCAUCCCGCGUGUGUGAAGAAGCUUCCGGGUUGUAAAGCACUUUCAGUCGUGAGGAAAGGUUUUGGGUUAUAGCGUAUAGAUUUGACGUUAGCGACAGAAGAAGCACCGGCUAACUCCGUGCCAGCAGCCGCGGUAAUACGGAGGGUGCGAGCGUUAUUCGGAAUUACUGGGCGUAAAGCGCAUGCAGGUGGUUUGUUAAGUCAGAUGUGAAAGCCCGGGGCUCAACCUCGGAAUAGCAUUUGAAACUGGCAGACUAGAGUACUGUAGAGGGGGGUAGAAUUUCAGGUGUAGCGGUGAAAUGCGUAGAGAUCUGAAGGAAUACCGGUGGCGAAGGCGGCCCCCUGGACAGAUACUGACACUCAGAUGCGAAAGCGUGGGGAGCAAACAGGAUUAGAUACCCUGGUAGUCCACGCCGUAAACGAUGUCUACUUGGAGGUUGUGGCCUUGAGCCGUGGCUUUCGGAGCUAACGCGUUAAGUAGACCGCCUGGGGAGUACGGUCGCAAGAUUAAAACUCAAAUGAAUUGACGGGGGCCCGCACAAGCGGUGGAGCAUGUGGUUUAAUUCGAUGCAACGCGAAGAACCUUACCUACUCUUGACAUCCAGAGAACUUUUCAGAGAUGGAUUGGUGCCUUCGGGAACUCUGAGACAGGUGCUGCAUGGCUGUCGUCAGCUCGUGUUGUGAAAUGUUGGGUUAAGUCCCGCAACGAGCGCAACCCUUAUCCUUGUUUGCCAGCGAGUAAUGUCGGGAACUCCAGGGAGACUGCCGGUGAUAAACCGGAGGAAGGUGGGGACGACGUCAAGUCAUCAUGGCCCUUACGAGUAGGGCUACACACGUGCUACAAUGGCGCAUACAGAGGGCGGCCAACUUGCGAAAGUGAGCGAAUCCCAAAAAGUGCGUCGUAGUCCGGAUUGGAGUCUGCAACUCGACUCCAUGAAGUCGGAAUCGCUAGUAAUCGUGGAUCAGAAUGCCACGGUGAAUACGUUCCCGGGCCUUGUACACACCGCCCGUCACACCAUGGGAGUGGGCUGCAAAAGAAGUAGGUAGUUAACUUCGGGGGACGC